GCCCUCGUAGUUCAGUGGAUAGAACACCUCCGUCCUAAGGAGGGUGUCAGGGGUUCGAAUCCUCUCGAGGGCUCCA
rnacentral:tRNA from 2 species